rnacentral:rRNA from 1 species
GAUGAACGCUGGCGGCGUGCUUAACACAUGCAAGUCGAACGAAGCACUUUAUUUGAUUUCCUUCGGGACUGAUUAUUUUGUGACUGAGUGGCGGACGGGUGAGUAACGCGUGGGUAACCUGCCUUGUACAGGGGGAUAACAGUUGGAAACGGCUGCUAAUACCGCAUAAGCGCACGGCAUCGCAUGAUGCAGUGUGAAAAACUCCGGUGGAAUAAGAUGGACCCGCGUUGGAUUAGCUAGUUGGUGAGGUAACGGCCCACCAAGGCGACGAUCCAUAGCCGACCUGAGAGGGUGACCGGCCACACUGGGGCUGGGACACGGCGCGAACUCCUACGGGAGGCAGGAGAGGGGAAUAUUGCACAAUGGGCGAAAGCCUGAUGCAGCGACGGCGCGUGAGCGAAUAAGUAUUUCGGUAAGUAAAGCUCUAUCAGCAGGGAAGAUAAUGACGGUACCUGACUAAGAAGCACCGGCUAAAUACGUG